AUUGAACGCUGGCGGCAUGCCUUACACAUGCAAGUCGAACGGUAACAGGCCGCAAGGUGCUGACGAGUGGCGAACGAGUGAGUAAUGCAUCGGAACGUGCCCAGUCGUGGGGGAUAACUGCUCGAAAGAACAGCUAAUACCGCAUACGACCUGAGGGUGAAAGCGGGGGACCGUAAGGCCUCGCGCGAUUGGAGCGGCCGAUGUCAGAUUAGGUAGUUGGUGGGGUAAAGGCCUACCAAGCCGACGAUCUGUAGUUGGUCUGAGAGGACGACCAGCCACACUGGGACUGAGACACGGCCCAGACUCCUACGGGAGGCAGCAGUGGGGAAUUUUGGACAAUGGGGGCAACCCUGAUCCAGCAAUGCCGCGUGCAGGAAGAAGGCCUUCGGGUUGUAAACUGCUUUUGUCAGGGAAGAAAUCCUGUGGGUUAAUACCUCGUGGGGAUGACGGUACCUGAAGAAUAAGCACCGGCUAACUACGUGCCAGCAGCCGCAGUAAGAC
rnacentral:rRNA from 1 species